CAGGCCUAACACAUGCAAGUCGAACGGUAACAGGAAGCAGCUUGCUGCUUUGCUGACGAGUGGCGGACGGGUGAGUAAUGUCUGGGAAACUGCCUGAUGGAGGGGGAUAACUACUGGAAACGGUAGCUAAUACCGCAUAACGUCGCAAGACCAAAGAGGGGGACCUUCGGGCCUCUUGCCAUCGGAUGUGCCCAGAUGGGAUUAGCUAGUAGGUGGGGUAACGGCUCACUUAGGCGACGAUCCCUAGCUGGUCUGAGAGGAUGACCAGCCACACUGGAACUGAGACACGGUCCAGACUCAUACGGGAGGCAGCAGUGGGGAAUAUUGCACAAUGGGCGCAAGCCUGAUGCAGCCAUGCCGCGUGUAUGAAGAAGGCCUUCGGGUUGUAAAGUACUUUCAGCGAGGAGGAAGGCGAUAAGGUUAAUAACCUUGUCGAUUGACGUUACUCGCAGAAGAAGCACCGGCUAACUCCGUGCCAGCAGCCGCGGUAAU
rnacentral:rRNA from 1 species